rnacentral:lncRNA from 1 species
CGCUGCCCUUUACUCUGCCCGAGGCCCCACAAGGACCGGAAGACGGUGCCUGUCAUGCCCAUUCCCGUAUCUCCAUGGGACGCAAUAGAUCUGUACCACUGUGUACAUGGCACAUUACCCAAGUUCCCAACAACUCAUAAGGCAGGCUGGGAAGCCAGAGAGGAACGUGCUGCAACCCCAGCCCAGACAGAUCCCGGAGAGAAGCAGUAAGAUCUCCCCAGAGGUCUUUCUGAGGAGAAGAAGAAAUCAUGUCUGCAAAGUGCCAGACACCCAGUACAAACUAGUUCACUUCUGGGCAGACGGGGAAACUGAGGCCCAAAAGGAACUCAUUCCCAAGCCUCAUCACCUGUACAUCAGUGGUGGCCCCUGGUGCCACCACCCUUUUGAAUGGUGAUAUGGCUGCUUAGAUAUUCUCCCCCAGCACUGUCCUGUUACCUCAUCA